UACAGAGGUCCCGAGCGUUGUUCGGAUUCACUGGGCGUAAAGGGUGCGUAGGUGGCGGGGUAAGUCAGGUGUGAAAUUUCGGAGCUUAACUCCGAAACUGCAUUUGAUACUGCCUUGCUUGAGGACUGGAGAGGAGACUGGAAUUCACGGUGUAGCAGUGAAAUGCGUAGAGAUCGUGAGGAAGACCAGUGGCGAAGGCGGGUCUCUG
rnacentral:rRNA from 1 species